AAUCCAGCCUGAGCAACACAACGAGACUGUGUCUCAAAAAAAGUAUAUAUAUACAUAUACAUACAUGUACGUGUGUGUAUAUAUACAUAUACAUAUAUAUUACAUGCAAAGCCCUUAAAACACUGGUCUGUAUGUAAUAGGUUGCCCAGUAAAUAAUCUAGCAAAAUAAAAAGGUGAUGUAAAUGUUAUCAAUAUCAAUACACUUACCACAGGGAUACUCUUGAAAUAGCAGAGAACCUAGGAAAACAAAAAUAGAAAGUAUAUAAUUGCAGAACUGGGCUAUGUUGCAAGAUCCUUAAAUGCAGAAACUUGGUGCCCAACUAUUAGGAAAAUCUGGGGAUUCACUGUGUCUGUUAAUGAUGUCUCAUCUUAAAGUUUGAGAGAGGAUCCUGGUGCUUUAGGGGUGAUUAAUAUACACAGACUAAAAAAGGAACAUCAAACGGGCAGAAGGAAAUAUGAAUUUUGCAUGUACUUGAGCAAUCACGGUGGAAAGUGGCAAGAGGUUAAGAAAACACUCCAGUAUCCUUCCUCUCCCUACAUUGUUUUCAGAAUCCAGGAUGAGUCAGGCCACGUCAAAAUAUACAGCGCCAUACUGAUGUGUAAUGGAGAGGCUUAUUACCCAGCUUCCUUUCCCAGGAAAGGCAUAUUGAUUAGGGCCCUGGAAAGGGAAUGUGACCCUUACGGAGAGCCGAUAAACAGCUACAUGAGGGGCAUCUCUCUGUGGUUGAGAUAAGGAUGUAAAAGUCUUUCUUCUCCCACUGCUCCAGGCCUGCAUGGAGGCCCCUCCUUUUGUGGUUUUUGUGGUCAGGCUGGUUGUCCUGUGUCAGAUCCUGUUCUGCCUGUAGCUGUGAGCCCAAUAUGUUUUUGCUGAUAAUCAUGAGUUUAUGUUUAACCUAUAUUCUUGCUACGUUGUAUGAUUUCUAUGCUGACACACAGAAAGUUAUCUUUACACCGUUCUGCUUUUACAAUACCACAUUGUGAUUUUUGUGCACCAGUUUUUGCAAAUGUAUUCUUUCUGUAUAAUUAUCACUGAAACUUUGCUUAACCUCGCUCUCCCACCCCUAUUGAAGGAGCACAAUAAAAAAACUGAGGUUUUCAAGGGAAUGUCAGACAUCCAUGGAGCAGCAUUAUGUGGUGUCUCCCCUGGGCCCAGCUUUAAGGAAAACAUUUUCCUUGUCUCUCUUUCUUUUUCACUGACCACUCUAUCAUUUUGAGAGAUCUUAAACCCACAUUGAUGUAUUGGGAGCUGGUCUCUCCAAUAAUUAGGGUCACAGCAAGGCAAGCCCAUAGAGCCUUUCCCGUUCUCCCUUGCUAAGCUGAGCUUCUAACAAAAACAGCCUCCAGCCUUGUAAACAGGAACCUAGGUUCCAGGAUGUGGUUGCACCGGGCUCUUGAACUCAGGAUGUUGACCCAGUUAAGCAGAAUGUCAGCCCCUGAGAACCAAGAUGCAGUUUUUCUUAGAAUAGCACCCAGCUACUUGCAAACUCUCUAUAUAACCCCCACAGUCUUUAAGCCAGGCUGCUGCCUUCACUGCCUGCAACUAACAAAAUUUUGGUGCUGAAACCCAGGAUGGGAGUAGGUGCUGGCCACUCUCCUUUCUUCCAUGUCUAGCCCCCCCAGUCUGAACCUCUUUCUAGACCCAAGAAUCUCAGACUCCCCCAUUGCUGGCAACCUCAUCCACCAUCAGAGCCUCAGCUAGGCCCUGCCCAGCCCAACCUACCAGAAACGAGGACGCUUUCGCUUCCCAAUACUCCGGACUGGGCAAACCGGGAGAAUAGAAGCAGGCAAGGACCGCCGUGGGCAGCGGGCCCAGUGAGACAGGGUCCUGCUCGCG